rnacentral:tRNA from 1 species
CAAGGCGUAGCUAUAACUUCAAAGCAUUCAGCUUACACCUGA